rnacentral:misc_RNA from 1 species
ACAAACUGCCCUUCUUACAUGAACAAUAAAUGUCUUGUUGAUACAAACAAUAAUGUAACAUGGAUUUGUAAUCUGGUUUCUCUCUAUUCCGGAUAAAUGUCCAUAAUUUAUCUCUGCAAAGCAUAAAUUACAGAACUUGUGGUAUAUUGAUAUUCUAUCAAGCAGAUACAUCCCCAAGAGCAUCCACGCCAGCAACCUCUCUAACAAGAUGAACAUUUCUGGCUGAAGGCAAACCAGCAACCACGUUCCCUUCAAUGCCACACUCAUUUUUUCCUCUCCUCAUCUUGAAGUAACCGUC